rnacentral:rRNA from 1 species
UACGUAGGGUGCUAGCGUUGUUCGGAAUCACUGGGCGUAAAGCGCACGUAGGCGGAUCCUUAAGUCAGGGGUGAAAUCCCGAGGCUCAACCUCGGAACUGCCUUUGAUACUGGGGAUCUUGAGUCCGGGAGAGGUGAGUGGAAUUGCGAGUGUAGAGGUGAAAUUCGUAGAUAUUCGCAAGAACACCAGUGGCGAAGGCGGCUCACUGGCCCGGUACUGACGCUGAGGUGCGAAAGCGUGGGGAGCAAACAGG